UACGGAGGGUGCAAGCGUUAUCCGGAUUCACUGGGCUUAAAGCGCGUGUAGGCGGGACGACACGUCCGACGUUGAAAUCCCCCGGCUCAACCGGGGAACGGGCGCGGAUACGAUCGUCCUGGAGGGGCGUAGGGGGACCUGGAACUUCCGGUGGAGCGGUGAAAUGCGUUGAGAUCGGAAGGAACGCCCGUGGCGAAAGCGGCGCACUGGACCACAACUGACGCUGAGGCGCGAAAGCUAGGGGAGCAAACAGG
rnacentral:rRNA from 1 species